ACGAACGCUGGCGGCGUGCCUAAUACAUGCAAGUAGAACGCUGAAGAGAGGAGCUUGCUCUUCUUGGAUGAGUUGCGAACGGGUGAGUAACGCGUAGGUAACCUGCCUUGUAGCGGGGGAUAACUAUUGGAAACGAUAGCUAAUACCGCAUAGCAAUGGAUGACACAUGUCAUUUAUUUGAAAGGGGCAAUUGCUCCACUACAAGAUGGACCUGCGUUGUAUUAGCUAGUAGGUGAGGUAAUGGCUCACCUAGGCGACGAUACAUAGCCGACCUGAGAGGGUGAUCGGCCACACUGGGACUGAGACACGGCCCAGACUCCUACGGGAGGCAGCAGUAGGGAAUCUUCGGCAAUGGGGGCAACCCUGACCGAGCAACGCCGCGUGAGUGAAGAAGGUUUUCGGAUCGUAAAGCUCUGUUGUAAGUCAAGAACGGGUGUGAGAGUGGAAAGUUCACACUGUGACGGUAGCUUACCAGAAAGGGACGGCUAACUACGUG
rnacentral:rRNA from 1 species